rnacentral:rRNA from 1 species
UCGCUCCUACCGAUUGAAUGAUCCGGUGAAUUCUCAGGACUGAGUUAAGUGGGAGUAAUAUCCACACUAAAUUUGGGAAUUUGAAUAAACCUUAUCAUUUAGAGGAAGGAG